rnacentral:rRNA from 1 species
AAUCAACGCUGGCGGCGUGCCUAACACAUGCAAGUCGAACGAGAAAGUGGAGCAAUCCACAAGUAAAGUGGCGCACGGGUGAGUAACACGUGACUAACCUACCCUUGAGUGGGGGAUAACCUAGGGAAACCUGGGCUAAUACCGCAUAAUACCUAUGGGUCAAAGGAGCAAAUUCGCUUUUGGAGGGGGUCGCGGCAGAUUAGUUAGUUGGCAGGGUAAUGGCCUACCAAGACGAUGACUGUAUCCGGCCUGAGAGGGCGCACGGACACACUGGAACUGAAACACGGUCCAGACUCCUACGGGAGGCAGCAGUGGGGAAUUUUGCGCAAUGGGGGAAACCCUGACGCAGCAACGCCGCGUGGAGGAUGAAGACCCUUGGGUCGUAAACUCCUUU